CAGACCACUCAAAUUUGAAUCUGC
rnacentral:siRNA from 1 species